rnacentral:lncRNA from 1 species
UAAUAUAUAGAAUUGAGCUCCCAUGCUUUUAAAAGUACCAAGUUAUUAGUGCUUAUAGAUUUUUAGCGAUUGGAUUAAGAAAUAUGCGGUUAGGAUGAUGUGGACCCUCUAGGGUUGAGUGGGUGGUUGGUUGAAUAGUAUAAUCUAAUGGUUGAAAAUGAUCCGAGGAGUAAAUCUAACGGUAAAAAACUUACAAGCACCAAGUGCUUGGUGCUCUUACAAGCACCAUAGCUGAACACUAUAGUCAUAAAUAAUUUGUUUGAUUUUAUGUAGUUGAGAAUUUGUAUUUAUAAAUUUUAUAUUUAUACGUACGACGAAAAAAGUUACCCUCUCUAAUCGCUGCAAGUUGAGAUUACAACCAAUUUAAAUAUUUUCUAUAGUCAUUAGUAUUUUCUACUUAAAAAUAAUUAGAAAAUUAAUUUUAUUUUUGUUUAAAGUUACUUUCUCUAACCACUACAAAUUGAAAUUGCAGCCAAAUUGAUCAUAAUUCUAACAACUGCAGUUGAGCUUCCUUGUGCAGUAGUAUAUGAGAAUACUACCAGUAGAAAAUUAAAGGAUAUUAUUGAUUUAUUUUCGACAACAGAGCAUACGAAUUGAUGAUCUGUAUUGUUGUACAUGAUCUAAAUCAUUUGAAGUAUCUGAAAACUAAUUUUCAUACUUUUUCGAUAUCAUUUGAUAAGAUCACAAAAUUUAUAAUUCAAUGGUUGAUAUCGGACAUAUGUUCAUUUUAGUGGUGUGGGAGAACUCAAAUCAAUUAAAUUUUUAUUAGAAUGUUUUCUGAACUAUUUUAACCAAAAUCAACAUCCCUAAAAUCCUAGAUAUAGAAAUCAUAUUCUUAUAUUUUUACUGUCCAUCUUUCUUUAUUUGCAUAAUGUAUGAAAAAAAGGGUUAAAAUAUAAAAAAAAAUUCUGUAAAUGUUUGGUUUUUUUUAUUUUUUUAAUUGACUUUAAAAAAUCUAUAUUUUGAUCAUUUAAAAUUUUAGAAAUGUUUUUAGAAAUUACGAUGUCAAUAGAGACGGAGAAAUGACCAAACUAUCCUUACUUGUUCAAAGUAAUUAUUUAAUAUAUUUCUAUCAAUUUUAAGGGCGUUUUCCAUAUAAAGUAUAAGAAAUGGACGAAAUAGUGAUGAAAGGGAACUAAAUAUAUCAACUUAAAAUUUUGAGAGGAUAAAAUGUAAGUUUUUAAAAGUCGGAGAGGAAAAAUAAAAAAGCAGGUAUCUACAGAAAAGUUUUCUGUAUAAAAAAUAUGAGAAUUAGUGUCCAACAUGCUUCAAAUUGUUAACCGUACAGGUCACCAAUCCCUAAAUAUUAGAGCCGAUUUACUACCGAUAGUAUUUUAGUCUAACUUGUGCAUGGGUUUG